GCAAACUUGGUCAUUUAGAGGAAGUAAAAGUCGUAACAAGGUUUCCGUAGGUGAACCUGCGGAAGGAUCAUCACUGAUUCUCGGGGGAAGGGGGCGUGUGCGCGGUCUCUGUGCGCGUGCCUCCGCCCCCAAUCAAUCUUGUGUGCACCGUUUUAUGCGUGGUCAAAAGUGUACACACGAAACACGACGCGCAGUGGUUGCAUUGUGUUGUUGGCAGAUAGAUGUGGGGGCGGCGCAUUUUCUUCUCCCCUUCUCAUCUGCCAAGCACAUGCGCCCUGUCGCGCGUGUUCUCUACCUGUGUGCAAUCAUCUCAAUCUCUUGUACAAUAUCCGUGUCUAACAAAACAUUGAUAUAUAUUAUAAAAACACAACUUUCAACAAUGGAUCUCUUGGCUCUCGCAUCGAUGAAGAACGCAGC
rnacentral:misc_RNA from 1 species